UGCCCUUUAAUGAAUGUCAUUUUUGUGACUUUUUCCUUCUAGUGCUAUUUUUGAGACAUAAACUUCAAAAGUGCUAUUAUUGACCAUUGCCCAAAUAAAAAUUCGAAUUAACUUUUUUUAAUUAUUAAUAUCUCUUUUACUUUUUAUCUUGUUCUCUUCCAUAACUUCAUCAUCUUUGACGGUAGAUAGAUCUGAAUCGAAGAAUCAAAUCAUCAUCAUCUGUUUGACGUCCUCCGCCGGUUCGUCUUCAAUUCAAAACGAAAGGCAAAAGAAACUGGGUUCUGUCUGUAUGGAAGUCAACACUGGCUUGCGAGAUGCAAUAAGCUGGCUUCCUGACGAGGUCCUGGGAAAGAUCUUGUCCCUACUUCCGACCAAACUUGCUGCUUCAACAUCUGUUCUUGCUAAAGAGUGGAAACAUGUGUUUAGAUUAGUGCAUAAUCUUGAUUUUGAUGACUCUUAACGAGCAAGACUCUGGUUAAGCUGACACUGGGAACACAAAUAUAUCUCGACAAGUUCGAACCAGAUGCGUAUCUUCCAGCGCUUAAGAGCCUCGUCAUAGACUCUAUUGUUUUUGAAGGUGACGAUCUGUGUGAUGUGCUUCUACGUGGUUGUCCUGUGCUGGAGGAGUUAUAUGUACGUCACGAAAAUUGUGAAGGAACCCCAUUCUGUAUAUGUAGUUCGACCAUCAAGAAACUAUGACUUUGAGAUUUUAAGGGGUGGUAUGUCGUUUGACACCCCAAGUCUUGUCUCAACUACCGCGACUAUGCGUUAGAGGAGUACACAGAUGUGAACUUGGCUUCCCUAGUGGAAGCUAGGCUAGAUAUUCUUUUUUCUAUAAGGAUCAAAGAUCCGGAUCUAUCGGGUCUCAUUAUAGGGAUAAGCAACGUCGAGAUCCUGCAUCUUUCUCCCGCUUCUGCUGAUGUCAUUGCUCGAUGUGUUGAAAAUGGACUAGUUUUACCGGUGUUCAAGAAUCUGGUUAGCUUAUCUUUUGGGAGUAACAACAAACGAGGUUGGAAACUGCUGCCGUAUCUGCUUAAGCAGACUCCAAAGCUUGAAACUCUAAUCAUCCAGGGUCUGGAGGGUUACGCAGGCAAUGCUACCAUUCGUCCCUUCCAAGUGAAGGUGGAUGAACUGCUAAAGCGUUGGAUCACUUGAAGAGUUUUCUUGGAUGAUGCCAGAAGUUCAUAAACCAAUAAGGAAGUUUCGUCCAAGUGCAAGAUCGAUGUACUAUGCUUCUUCUAAGCUUGUAUAAAUAUUGUGCAACAUUAAACUCUUAUAUUUAUUUAUGCACAUUGCCCUUGCCGCUUUUCUUUUUGUAAACCCAUAACUUUAUUUGCUUCUCUUAAAGUGGAAUUUAUAAUC